CCUACGGGCGGCAGCAGUGGGGAAUAUUGGGCAAUGGGCGCAAGCCUGACCCAGCAACGCCGCGUGAAGGAAGAAGGCUUUCGGGUUGUAAACUUCUUUUGUCAGGGAAGAGUAGAAGACGGUACCUGACGAAUAAGCCACGGCUAACUACGUGCCAGCAGCCGCGGUAAUACGUAGGUGGCAAGCGUUGUCCGGAUUUACUGGGUGUAAAGGGCGUGUAGGCGGGGACGCAAGUCAGAUGUGAAAACCACGGGCUCAACCUGUGGCCUGCAUUUGAAACUGUGUUUCUUGAGUACUGGAGAGGCAGACGGAAUUCCUAGUGUAGCGGUGAAAUGCGUAGAUAUUAGGAGGAACACCAGUGGCGAAGGCGGUCUGCUGGACAGCAACUGACGCUGAGGCGCGAAAGCGUGGGGAGCAAACAGGAUUAGAUACCCCUGUAGUC
rnacentral:rRNA from 1 species